UACGUAGGGAGCAAGCGUUGUUCGGAUUUACUGGGCGUAAAGGGCGCGUAGGCGGCAACUCAAGUCAUCUGUGAAAUCUCCGGGCUUAACUCGGAACGGUCAGAUGAUACUGUUUUGCUAGAGUGCAGAAGGGCAAUCGGAAUUCUUGGUGUAGCGGUGAAAUGCGUAGAUAUCAAGAGGAACACCUGAGGUGAAGACGGGUUGCUGGGCUGACACUGACGCUGAGGCGCGAAAGCCAGGGGAGCAAACGGG
rnacentral:rRNA from 1 species